CCAGACGUCCUACGGGAGGCAGCAGUGGGGAAUAUUGCACAAUGGGGAAACCCUGAUGCAGCGACGCCGCGUGGAGGAAGAAGGUCUUCGGAUUGUAAACUCCUGUUGUUGAGGAAGAUAAUGACGGUACUCAACAAGGAAGUGACGGCUAACUACGUGC
rnacentral:rRNA from 1 species